GGGGAUAUAGCUCAGGGGUAGAGUGCUUGCCUAGCAUGCACAAAGCCCUAGGUUCCAUUCCCAGUACCGCCC
rnacentral:tRNA from 1 species